rnacentral:rRNA from 1 species
GCUGGCGGCGUGCUUAACACAUGCAAGUCGUACGAACCUCGGAGAGCUUGCUCCUCGAGGUUAGUGGCGAACGGGUGCGUAACACGUGAGCAACCUGCCCUCACGGUGGGGGAUAGCCGGCCCAACGGCCGGGUAAUACCGCGUACAGCAUCGAGGCUGCAUGGCCUCGAUGUGAAAGCGGCCGCAAGGUCGCGCCAGAGGAGGGGCUCGCGGCGUAUCAGCUUGUUGGUGGGGUAACGGCCCACCAAGGCUACGACGCGUAGCUGGUCUGAGAGGAUGAUCAGCCACAUUGGGACUGAGAUACGGCCCAGACUCCUACGGGAGGCAGCAGUGGGGAAUAUUGCGCAAUGGCCGCAAGGCUGACGCAGCGACGCCGCGUGUGGGAUGAAGGCCUUCGGGUCGUAAACCACUGUCAGGGGGGGCGAAUGCUCGGCCGCGAAUAGCGGACCGAGAGUGACGGUACCCCCAAAGGAAGCACCGGUUAACUCCGUG